CAGGGCGGGCACUUGGCCUGUGAGCUCUAUGUCCAGUGCUCACUGCCCACGGCGCCCCCCAACUCACCCACAGCAGCCGACUCAGCCCCUGUCAGCCUGUAACCACCACACACAAAAGCAGCAAGAAAUGGCCAUGCUGUUUUCUGGGCAGGACACUCCAUCCUGCAGAAGGGACUUUUAGGCUCACUCCUCCAUCUGUGAAGCCGGGCUCCCAGGGGAUGGGGCAGGGGGUUGGACUCACCCUGUCAGCCUUCUUCUUCUGUGUAGCAACAGCAGAGAGAUCCCACUCUAAAUCUCUUGCAAACUUCCAUGAAUCAUGCAGGCGGCUCACCAGAUGCCUGCACUCUCCUGGAAUGAGAGACAUUCAGAUGCGGCCCAAAGGACUCCCCAUAAAGGCCUGUCAAAGUGCCAGGUUGAAGGAUGACCGGGUGCCAGAUUCCCACCUUCCAACUGCUGGACAGCACGCUGGCUGUAAUAGAGUGCCGUCUGAAGCUCAGUUUUCUCACAUAUGUGAGAAGAGAGGCCCAAAGAGCGCAAGGAAUUUGCCCUCUAUCAUAUCCCCAGCAGAUGGAGAAGAUUCAAACCCAGAAUUCUUAAGCAGUGCCUGGGAGUUCUUCCACAAUCUUAACAAUUACCCUCCACCACCCCUUGGGCCCUCUGUCCCCAGGAGCCUGGCCAGCCAAGACUCACAGCCUCAGGUGAGUGGCAACCACCAGAAGUGGUUGUCUCAGGGUUAGCACCAUUAUUUAUGUUCUUCUUUUUGGUGUCGCUUGCUUCUGUACCAACACUAGGGUUGGCCUGGGGAUGGUAGUCUCUCAACUGUGGAAAGGAAGAGCAGUGAUAUUCAUGAGAACUACAAGCUCCUACAGUCACAUCCUGCUUUACAGUUUCUACAAAAUACUCUUCUGCACCAUCUGAUUUAGUGCCACCAACAACUGUAGGAAGUGUUGUCACAGUCAGUGACUGAGAGGGAUUGAUACCAUGGCUGAACAGAAGCCACUAAUGGAACUGAAACUCAGUCUUCUGACUCUGAGCUCUGGGAUUUUGCCACAAGUCAGCAGCUGCCAGGGACCAAAACCAGAGGCAAAGGCAGAAAAGCAAAUAUCAGGUAGGCAGGAACUGUACACCGUGUGGUUUAGAGUCAUACACCCUCACAUGUCUGUUAGUGUGAAGAAGUGCACCACUACCUCUCAAACGUUUAUAUUAAUGUAUGCUCAUGGCAGAAGGCAGCCUUUCUGUGAAACCUGGGAACUUAACACAAAGAGGACAACCCAACCCUCAUUUCAGAGAGAAGUCUUGUAUAUUCUUAUAAAUGUAUGUGACAGUCACCCCAAGUACAUUAAUGUUUUGUUUCUCAGUAGACUCAAAGGAAACUGAUGCUUCAGAAAGAUGCCCCAUAUUUAUCCUGUGGCACUCAAAGUACCCCAGGUGGAGAUGAGAUGAGGAAGAUUCAAGCUGUCAAGUUCAGUUUCCCAAGAUCUGUUCCACAGAAGAUAGGCAGAUCUCACUGCAGAAACCACUGACUGAGGGGCACUCUGGUCCCAGAACAAUGCAGAAUUCAAGUCUGAGGUGGAGAACUCAGAAACAAUGUUCGAGUCUCUCUGGAGAGUAGAAGCCUGGGAGAAAAUCAAACUAAACCCAUUCUCCCGUUGCCACCCA